CGUACACACAACUUCACAAAAGAACCAGACACCAGUGACAGAUAACACUUAGUAAAUCAUUUUAUUUCUAAAUCUUACAAAGUCCUAUUGUAAGAAAAAGGGUGAAAUUAAGGUUAGGAGGUGUCAAUUCUAAAUUACAAUUGAAAUUGCCGCCAUGAAGACUGGGGAAAACCUUUGAAAUUGGCAGCAAAUUUGCGUUAUAGGGACAUAAAAUAGAUAAGAAAAUGACGUCAAACUCAUCCCCGGUUUCAGUCAACCCAUUCCAUGACAAGAAAUUUUGGUGAUGUAAUUGCGCCAUCUACUGACCGAUAACUAGAUGAUAGUCUGUAGGGUAGACACACCUACAGUUCCCUAUUGGUCCUAUCAAUGAAUGACGUGCAGAGAGUUUAGCCCUUUAAAAAGUUAGGACAAAGGGAAUAGAGGUAUUUUCAUACAUUCAGCAUUGGACAUUCAAGGAUUCAAACACACAAACACUCAACUCUCAAACUCUCUUUGACACAACUUUCCAACCAUCACCACUUUUCUAUUACAUACAAUCCUAUACACAUCAACUUGCAUUCAGCUCCUGGGACUAUCUACUGAUCUGAUAAGAACAUCUACGACAUAACUGGUAAUUAUGCUGGUUUUAUUUAUUUAAAUUAAAUUAAUUAAAAUGUUACUAAUAGCAGGAAUAUAUAUGCCUGGAUAAAUCUCAGUCAGAUUUCAAUCAUUAGAGAUCUUAGUUAGCUAAAGAAUAUAUGGUUAUAAAAAUUCCACUCCUGCAGGUGGAAUAAAGAUAACAAUAUAUUAACGGUAAUAUUUACCAACAGGUUAGCAUGCCACAUUUAUCCAGAUAUAUGACUUGUUCUGAUAUAAGAUAGUGAAUCUUAUUUAGGAAGGUUAAAGUUCGGCAAAUGUAAAAUCUGGUAGAUUUAUUCUUAUUGGAUGGUUCCAGGAAUGGUUAAUGAUCUGGUAUGAACAUUGCUUUCAUUUAAAAAAUUUGCAACAGAAUAUGAAUUUGCCCAUGAGGAUUGUAGCCAGUAGUGAAAGGAUAAAUUCAGUGUGAUCUAAAUGUUAGCCGGAGUUUCAUUGCUUCUCACUGCACUGUGUGUUCUGUGUGAAGUUAGUUUCUAAGUGAAGUACCCUAUCAUAAAUCUUGUUAAGAUCUUGACUGGUUGCUUUAGCCGCUGAAUUGUGUUUAAAGCAUUGCCAUUUCGUAUGCCCAGGGGCGUACCUAGAACAUUUGGCACCCGGGGCGGGUCCUAUUUUUGGCACCCCCCCUUUUAUCCCCCUCUCAACUUUAAAUAUAAAAACAACUAAAAAAUGUUUUAAUGUAUUUAGCACUAAGCAGUGUUUGUGUUUUUGAAUGUAUGCAUGUUUUUGUAAGGAGUAUGUGUGAGUGAAUGUAGCGGUGUGUUUGUAUGUAGUGUUGGCGUUUGAAUGCAAGCAUGCAUUUGUGUGUUGUGUGGUAUUUGAAUGCAGUGGUAUGGUUAUAUAUAAUGGUGGGGUUUGUAUGUAGUGUUGACGUUGAAAUGCAUGAGUGUAUUUGUGUGUAGUGUUGGCGAGAUUUUUAGAUGUCUGCACAUAUACACAUACACGGACAUACACACACAAACACAGUCACACACAGAUACACAUUGACACACAUGCAGACAUCGUGGCGACUCUAGGAACAAUAUAUAUGGGGGGGCACAUAAGAUACCACAGUCAAAACAGGAGGGGGAGGUGGAGCAGUAAAACUUCUCACUAGGGGAUGGGGUAAUAUGCUGCCAUUGGCUGUCUGAUGCCAGCAUGCUGUGUUCUGCAUGCUGGCAUCUGACUACACACUUGCAUAUAAUUCACAUUAGCCACCCAGAUUUCUUGUUGUGGGCUGGCUGACACCUCUUAAUUUCAAUCUUUGUUUAGCAGAUAACUCCUCUAUUAGCUAUCCUUUGUGGGAUUGCCAUAUUUAAAGACACCAAAUAAGGUGCUAUCUGCUAAACAGCACCCUCAUUUGGUAUCUUUAAAUAUGGAAAUCUCACAUACGGGCACCAAUUCAGGGAAUGAUCUACUAAACAGCUAAAGGAUAAAAAAGCCCUUUUCUUAUUUUCAGUUGUUUAGUAGAUAAAUCCCUUAUUUGUUAUCUUUAUGUGGGAUUGCAAUAUUUGAGGACAGGAAAUAAGGGAGCUAUCUACUAAACACAUACGCAGAGAUACACACAAUCACACACAUAAUAUACAGGGAGUGCAGAAUUAUUAGGCAAAUGAGUAUUUUGACCACAUCAUCCUCUUUAUGCAUGUUGUCUUACUCCAAGCUGUAUAGGCUCGAAAGCCUACUACCAAUUAAGCAUAUUAGGUGAUGUGCAUCUCUGUAAUGAGAAGGGGUGUGGUCUAAUGAC